rnacentral:misc_RNA from 1 species
AAAGAUAUAGCAUAUUCUUCUGAAUAUACUUUAUUAACCCAUUCUGAGUACCUUACCCGUUGCUUCCGCGAGGCUGUCCUCACGGCCCUCUGAGGAUUUAUCUUUGGGGAGUCCUUGCGGAAGGUAUACAAUAAACUCUUGCAUUACUAUGUCAUCUGUCUGAAUCUGUUUAAAACAAAUAUUA